AGCAGAGCAUUCGAUUCGUGUCGGUGUAACAAGUAGGAAGAAGGCGAUGUGUUGUUCUCGAAGCUGGUCCAAGUUUUAAGUGAAUCGAACUAUGUGCGAAACRCAACGCGUUUCUACUGAUUGGCUUGACUUUGCUAUCAUUUCCAACAGUUUCUCAAUUGCAUAGAUCAAUUUUCUCUUUACUAGUGAGAUUUACAAAGACUUUGAUAUCCAUCCCAACCUAAUAGACACAAACCGGGACAAAUACAGAGAACACCCAGAAAUACUGCAUUUCUCCAAGAUUAAAAAGUUACAGUCUACUGUGAAACCAGAUUUCAAGUUUCUGGCACUAAAAUGGCUUCCGUUCCUGUUGGUGGACAACUAUAUGCCAGGAUCGUUUCACAAAAGAUACGAUUGGGUGAAAAUCAAAGCGAAGGAGGACAUUCAAUUGCCAAGGCAGCAGAAGCGAUUACCCAGGGAAAUGGCGUUAGUUUAUAUGGCGGUUUAUCCAGUUACUUGCCAUUAGCAAGAUUGUACACAGUUAGCGCUUGUAGCGCUGAGAAGCUGCCAGUCGAUCUUGACAAGGAUUUAAAGUAAAGUGGUUACAAAAAAGACUUUUUGAGGUAUCUCAAGAUCAAUGACAAUGAACCACUAUUUUAGAACUAUAUAUUAUAUAUUUUUGAAAAAAGUCCAACUGCUUGUUUUAAUUUUGUUUGCUUUAGAUACAAAUUAUAAUGUUUGUUGUUUGGGUUAUUUCCACUUAAUAUGUGAUGUAACCAAAUAAGUUUGAGAGUCAACAUUCAUUGUUCGGUUCUACAGACAUACAAAAUUUAAGUCACUUGCAAAAAAAGUUCAAAUAUAUAUUUAUUGAAAAAUGCUGUUGUUUUCUUAUGUUAUACAGCUGAACAAUGCUAAUGGAAUUGACUGUGUGUGUGUUACCAUUYAUUGAGCCAAUAUAGCUUGAAAAAUAUACAAUUUGGCUUGAAAGUUCAAAAAACAAGCUGUGUCACAUAUCUCAAAGACUAUAAAGUAAUGGCUGACUAGGGAUAUUCUUGUUGUUUGACCAUGAACAACACAACUGAAGUUGUGGCUACAGGUAAACAAAAGAAUGUCACAAAGAUAUUUGAACAGAGUCCUGUGGUUACUCAGCUAGAUUAUCAAAAGUCAGCCAUUUCUGUUGUCAGAUUUAAUUUUCAAUUAUUUCGAAUUGUAUUUUCCUCUUUUUUUUCAGAACUGAUGUGAGAAUUGUCAUGUUUCAAUCUUUUAUGUAAAUAUAGUUUAACACUAGUUAUCUUGUUUGUAUGAGAUAUAGACUACGUUUUUAGAUAGACAGCUUUAUACAGUUGCUGUUGUAGUGCCCUGGAUUCCAUAGGUUGGAAUUUACUCUCUCUAGCUCAUAGUUUAUUUCAAGGCUGUUGACAAGCUUACCAUUUUUUGGCUUACAGACUGAAAACUGCUUUUGAUUACACAAACUAUGAGAAAGGGUUUAAUUUCUAACGUCUUGUAUACCCAUGGUACUAGUAUAUACUAAAGCUCAAGUAUUAGAAUCAUAAUUAAAUGAUCCAGACCGUGUGACUUGUACAUCAAAGUGAAGUUUGAAUAAAGUUUGAUUAGCCUGUGUA